ACAAACGCCCUCACGGGUGCUACCCAGAAACCCUUUGUGAAUACUACCAAAUUGUUGCCUCGGCAGUGGUUGGCUCUCUUUAGCAGGAAAAAAAAAAAAAAAAAAAAAAGGAGCAGACCGGCCGGCGGCCCCCUAUAAACUCUUGUUUUUGAAAUAUCAUCUGAGUAAACAACUAUAAAUAAAUCAAAACUUUCAACAACGGAUCUCUUGGUUCUGGCAUCGAUGAAGAACGCAGCGAAAUGCGAUAAGUAAUGUGAAUUGCAGAAUUCAGUGAAUCAUCGAAUCUUUGAACGCACAUUGCGCCCGGUGGUAUUCCACCGGGCAUGCCUGUUCGAGCGUCAUUUCAACCCUCAAAGCCUCGGCUUUGGUGUUGGAGGAAUAGCCCUUGCAAAAGGGCUACCCUCUGAAAUUUAGUGGCGGGCUCGCUAGAAUUUUGAGCGUAGUAAUUUUACCUCGUUUUUAAAGACUAGUGGGACUUCUUGCCGUAAAACCCUCCCCCCCAACUUUNNNA
rnacentral:rRNA from 1 species